rnacentral:rRNA from 1 species
AGUGAGCGCUGGCGGUAGGCCUAACACAUGCAAGUCGAACGGCAGCACAGUAAGAGCUUGCUCUUACGGGUGGCGAGUGGCGGACGGGUGAGGAAUACAUCGGAAUCUACUUUUUCGUGGGGGAUAACGUAGGGAAACUUACGCUAAUACCGCAUACGACCUACGGGUGAAAGCAGGGGAUCUUCGGACCUUGCGCGAUUGAAUGAGCCGAUGUCGGAUUAGCUAGUUGGCGGGGUAAAGGCCCACCAAGGCAACGAUCCGUAGCUGGUCUGAGAGGAUGAUCAGCCACACUGGAACUGAGACACGGUCCAGACUCCUACGGGAGGCAGCAGUGGGGAAUAUUGGACAAUGGGCGCAAGCCUGAUCCAGCCAUACCGCGUGGGUGAAGAAGGCCUUCGGGUUGUAAAGCCCUUUUGUUGGGAAAGAAAAGCAGCAGGUUAAUACCCCGCUGUUCUGACGGUACCCAAAGAAUAAGCACCGGCUAACUUCGUG